rnacentral:lncRNA from 1 species
CCGAUACCACUUUUGUCACGACUGGCAUCCGGUGCGUACUCAACUGAGCGCCACGUACUUUAUCCCAUAUUCUCCUUUUAUUUUUAUUAAACUUGUCACGGGCCAUGAUAGGCCACAUCUAUAUAUGUAAUUAACAAUAUUAGAACGUAACUCACAUAACUAAUUCAAAAGAUUUAUAUAGAUAUAUAGGGGCCGUCAAGGCCGUUGACAUGUCAUACCUAAAGCUAUACACAGGACACUGUCUGCAAAACCUCUAAGAAAACAUGAUCAUAAUAUAUAAGUUGAGACAGGGUCCCCGACAUCUUCAUAAAACAAAGUAACAUAUAUAGAACAUGACUCGACAAUACUCCAGGAAGAUGUGGAGCUCACCAACCAAAAGCUGAUAUAUGGAGGCAGCCUACAGUGGAUGGUCCUCACCUCGCCUAUCUACACCUGUGUGGCAUGAAACACAGCGUCCCAGGAAAAGGGACAUCAGCACGAAGAAUGUAAGGCAGAAAUGAAACAUAGUAAUAAUAAGAUACUAUCUCGAGGAGAGAUAAGAGUCAACUUAUAAUUUCUGACUUGCUGCUGAGGGCCGUACCAUGUAGAAUAAAACUCAUUCGUAUAAAUAAAUAAAAUUACGAUAUAAUAGUUCUGAUUAUAUCAUUCUCGUGGCGUUAACUGCCCAACUGAUCAGUAGUAACUGCCCGACCGGUCGUUGCACGGUGGUAAAUGCAUGACUGCCCAAUCGAUGAUAAAUAAUGAUACAUAACUGCCCAACCAGCCGGAGCCUGGUAGUAAAUGCAUGUCUGCCCAACUGGUCGUAGCACUGUGGUAAAUGAAUAUGUAUGACUGUCCAACCGACCGUAGCACGGUGGUAAAUAUGUAACUGCCCAACCGAUCGUAGCACGGUGGUAAAUGCAUAUACACGAAGAUGCAUGUAUUAGUGUAUUAUGAACAUUAACACCUUUAUAUGAAGAAAAUCAUUGUUGGUUCCGAAGUUAUUUUCUUUACUUCUCCUUAGUAAGUAAAACACAAACAUAGGAGAGUUCGGCAUAUUUACAUGCAUAUAGUACCUAAAGAAUUCAUGAGACAAAAAAGGACAUAAGAAUCUAGUGGUUUACAAUAAAUUUUGGAUCUCUCGUACCCUUUUCUUUCAAAGUCCCUUGAACACCUUAGAAAUGAAAUGUAUGGUCAAAUAGUGCAAAUCAUAAUUAUGUAACAAUACAGGAGCAUUUCCUAACCAUAAAUUCUCCUUAACCAUCCGUUUACUAAUCAAUGUGAAUUAUACAAGACACGUUCCCCAAAAGGCAAUUAUCUCAAAGACAAAAUUCUCCAAGCUUUAAAUGACAUAACUGUCAUUGAUUUUGUUAACGCCACUUCUUGUCUAAACUCUCAAAAUUUCCUUAGCUGAAAUUUGACCAGCAUUGAGUAAUAUAUUUGAAUGCACUCCACUUGACAUUACUAUUUCAUAUUCACCAAUUAAAAACUUCAUCUUUUUUAUUCAAGUAACAACAUACUCUUCAAUGUUAAGUUAGUGCCUUUAAUGGGAAAACUCUUAACAGCUAGUUCAAUAUAGCGAUUGACUCUCCAACUGAUCAACUCACCAAUCAACCAGCUACGCCUCAAUAGAGACUUAGGAACAUAUUUAGACAUGCUUGAAUAUCAUUUUACAUAAAUAAAUAACAUAGACAUCCUUAACUGCUAAGAGUAGAAUCACUUAUAGAAUAACAUUACGUUUACGUAUCGUUACUUGGAUCAUGCCAAAAGAAGGAAGGAUUAGCUUUAACAUACCUGAGUCGAUUCUCUUGAGAGAGAUUAUAGCAUACUCCCCUAAUAUUGCAAAAUCUCACGUUAAUUAAGUUGCUCUGGAAUCCCGGGUCUUGAAGCAUUGAAGACGCUAUAGAAUGCCAGACAUUUGAAUUCUUCCAAUUUCUUGAACUCUCACGUUAUCAGAUGGAUAUAUGAUCCAUUUUUAUGUCCUUAAGACAUAAUGUUAUUCCUUUUGCAAAAAGGUAUAUCAUUUAAGUCUUAAGAUAAGUUGCCACAUAGACAAAUGACUUUAAGAGUCAUUCCUAAGCUUAUGGUGGUGCUGCUACGUGGGGGAUUCUUAAUAUUAUAUUAUAAUUCAUUUAUUAAUUAGGUAAUGUUUUGUUACCCGAUAAUUAAUUAAUUUUCCAAAAUAUCUUAAAUUACUUAAAAUUCUACUUAUCUUAAUAUACUUUAUACAUCAUAUUAUCAUGGUCAUAAAGUACCUUGUAUGGUACUAGUCCAUAAAUAUCAGAUAUUAUAUCUCGGACCAUAUUUUAUCCCAAAAUAACAAACUUCGGCGAUACUCAAUUUCUUCAAUUCGUUAACCCUUUGACCUUUAUAACACUUGUCGCUUGUUACAAAUAGCAUAAAUGCUUAUGAUCUCAAAAUAAUCUCAUUCCCCACUCUAGAUCGAUUAACUUAUGACGAAACUUUAACGUACUAAAUGCGGGAUGUAACACUGACAAAACUAGGACCUCCCUCACCUUAUUUACAUAUGCGUGCUUAGAUGGCCUAUCUAUUAAAUGACUAAUUCACAUAAUUGAGUUCAGUCGGGACCCACCAUUGUGGACCGCGAGGGGUGCCUAAAACCUUACCCAAUCUCUGGUAAUGAAAACUUGUUAUAUGAGUUAAUUGCUCUAGGUGGCCUAGCACCUUAAUCUGUUAGGUGGCGACUCUUCAAAUACCAAAUUCCAAAAGGAAACGAGUUGUUCCCAAUGAAUGUCGAAACCUAGACUCCGCGAGGAAAAAGGGGCGUGCCCCAGCUGGGCGUUUUGAGAAUUUAAGAUCUGUUCAACUGUGUAAGGUCUUGAACAACUUCAUAUUAUGUGUAUCGACUUGCGUGCAUAUUGAAUUUAGUUACUGGAUGAUUCAGAGUCAAAUUGAAAGAACGAAUCUAGUUUUGGGAACUUAAUCGAUGAGAAUUUGACUGGAAUUUGAAAUUUGAGUAAAUGGCACCGAUUGAGGUCGGGGUCAUUGAUUGCUAUUUGGUUUCCUUUUCUUCGGUCAGUUCCCUACUUUUUGGUGCCGAAAUCGCGGGUGUCACACCUUCUUUUUACGGGGAAAGGAGUUUUUCCACUUUGAGGGAUAUUAUUGAAAUAAGAUUAUUUAUUUCAAUUAUAGAGUCGCCACUUGGAAUAAUUAUUGAGGUUUCUCCAGUCAGCGGUUUAUUUUAAAAUCCCAAUUCAAAGAAAAUUAGACUCCAUUAAAGUUUGUGAAACACAGAAGACCGGGUAAGGAAUUUUGUUGACCUGGAAGAAGGUGUGAGGCACUCCCAGAUUCUGUGGUUUUAACACAAUAGCUUUACAAUUAAACUCUGCUUAAUUAUCUGAUUAUUACAUAUUUUAACCUAUGUGCAUUCUUACCUUUUACCGCUUUAUUGUAUAUUUUAAGUAAUUAUGGAUUUUAUUUAAAAUAAGUUACAAUGUCGCGCAUUUGUUGUUUUAUACACAUUGCAAGUCAUGCCACGUGAAAUGCACCGGUUAUUUACAGUAUAUUAAUUAUUAAUUAUUUGAAUUUGUAGGGUGAAGUCACGUGAACGUGCACUUGAAUUUGAGAUUACAUAUCAUAAUUAUGCCACGAGAGCCGUAUCCAUAACCAUAAUAAUUAAAUUAUUCAAUACGCGCCUAAAGCAACUAGCGAUGUUCAUGAAUUAAUUUCCCUAAAACUAGUUUGGUAUUAUUGUGAGGCCAAGAGUUUAUGAAAAGUAAAUUAGUUAUGAAAAUAUGAGUUAAAGCCCGUUUGGCUUAGCUGAUUUAGAGUAGCUGAUAAGUAUUAGGUGCUGAAAAAUACUUUUAGGUCCAAACACCCUCUUAGCCUUGGCAGACUUACCUAUUUGGCAUAACUAUGUGAUGACCUCAACAAAAACCAGUUUGGGGAUGAUAAAUAUUCCCUUACACACAAAUCCUUUUGCUUUUAUUUUUAUCUACUUUAUCAAAACCCAUUCUUAGAUUCUAUGAACAAUAUAGUAUCCUAUCUUAAGAAACCAACAUCACAAGUAGCCAUUAAAUUAAUCCAAAAUAAAGAUGAAUAAGAUUGAGAAAUACCAAACACUAAGAUGGACAACUAACAUGGUAUACGACAGAACUAAUCUAAGACAAAGCAAGCAAGCAAAGUUGAAUAAACCUAGCUGUUAGCAAAUAAUUAAAACUCAUGGAACGUCCUCACCUAUCUUGAACAGAGCAAGCAGAAUGCUUCAAUCACUCAAUGAGCAAAAUAAGAAUCCAUACGUGCAUUCCUAAGAAUUCUGAGCUACCAAGAAGACACUUAAUUUUGAAAGCAUUUAAGAAAUAGAAUAAGGAACCAAAUCUCUAGCAGACUUCAAGAACGAGAGAAAUAAUUAGCACAUUUACACAAAAUCCACCUUAGUGGCCAGCCAUAGAAAAUCUGAUCAAUCCCCCUUAACAAUUCAACAUUAAUGAUCCGAUAACCACCAUAACAAUUGAUUAACAAAAUGAAAUCGCAUGUGAAAGCAUGCUAACAGAGAGAGGGGAUCCAUAAACAACAUUCAUCAAGCUGUUGUAAUAAGAUGAGAUAAGAACAAAAAGGACCUUUUAUAGAUGCAUCUGAACUUCGAUUCUUUGACAACUAUUGAAGCUUAAACACAAACAAAACCGCGUACAAGACCUCAACAAAAACUCGACCAAAUCGCCAGAAACGUAAAGUUGACUCAGGAAACUCACUAAACUCCAAUGACUUUACAUGGCUGAAAUGAAGCUUAAGCUGCAGCUCUUUUAAUGAUGUAAGAAGCUGGUUUACAGACUGCUUUAAGCUAGUUUCAAGCUGAGCUUUGUGGGGGUUUCACUGAUUUUUUGGUGAAGUAGUGGAUUUUCCCUGCUACUAUAAGUAAGGAGAAGUAGUCAUGUUUUCCUUUCCCGCUCCCCCCGUUUUUUCUCCUUUUUCUCCCAAUUCUCUUAUGUCCUCGUAUUUAGCUAUUACAAUGAUUUGUGAUAAAUUCCAUAAGCAUGUGUGGGCGAAAAUUAACUGAACAAGUGAGACAAUUUGAAAUAAAACUAGAUCUUCAGAAUUCUCAGCACAAACGUCUCCAUGAGUUUAAACAAACUUUUAAUAACUUGUAUGAAUAUAUGCAAAUCAAACAAAAUUUUACAUCUAAACGUUUGAAUAUUUAAUAAGCACAUGAAAAUCAAACGUCAAACAUGAGAAAAUAGUUCAUUAACAUAGAUGAGAUAGAAUUACUAAGUAAUUGAUAUGUUUACCUCUCAGUAGGAAAUACAAGAGCGAACAACCAAAUAAAAGCUGGGAUGUGAGAAUAGAGUUUAGACCAUUGAUUUUCAGCGAAGGACAACAAAGCAACAACAUUUUAGAUGCUCAAUCUACCUUCAAAAUUCCAGAAAUCAUGUGAUAAACUAAAAUAAUUUGAUGUUUUAAGAACUGCAGAUCUGAGCGAAAACUUUUUAAUUCAAGAAAAGUUUCCUAGCUUUUUUGUAUGUGUUCGUGAGUAGGUGUGUAUUUCUGGAGGUGUCAGUGAUUAAAGAUGAGAGUGAGGGUUUAUUUGUAGAAGUGUGGGUCAAUCCGUGUGAGGGGAGCUUCCUUCUCUUUCUUUUGGAGUGAAAUGAGGUGGGAUCGUUUCGGUAAGGGAAGAGAGAGAGAGACGGCUUCGUUUGAUGUUAAGGAAGGGGCUGGUCAGGUUAGUG